rnacentral:rRNA from 1 species
UACGGAGGGUGCGAGCGUUGCUCGGAAUCACUGGGCGUAAAGCGCGUGUAGGCGGCCCAUUAAGUCUGAUGUGAAAGCCCGGGGCUCACCCCCGGAAGUGCAUUGGAAACUGAUGGACUCGAGUCCCGGAGAGGAGAGUGGAAUUCCUGGUGUAGCGGUGAAAUGCGUAGAUAUCAGGAGGAACACCGGUGGCGAAGGCGGCUCUCUGGACGGUGACUGACGCUGAGACGCGAAAGCGUGGGGAGCAAACAGG